ensembl:lncRNA
GCAGAAUUUACACGAAUCAAUCUAAUGCUUAUGGAAACAUUUUUGGUGCAAAAUCUGCUGGUUAUGUGACAAUGCCGAAGGCGGAGGAGACGCUCGCGAGCUAUCUCUCUCCUGCUUCUUCGGUUUCACUUAAAGCACCGGCUCUUCCAUCUAGACCACUAAAAAAUACCUCUGUGCUGGUGGGGAAGGCUUACUCGGCUGCUGGGCAGGCGGCUGCGUGUUUGCACACUAUGGCUAUUAUGCAGGCUUAUCAGGCCGCGUCGAAAAAGUCCUGACGGGCUGAACGUCAGGACUCUGAGGGUGGUCCCCAUCGGGAGAGACUUGAGUUCACC